rnacentral:rRNA from 1 species
AACGAACGCUGGCGGCGCGCCUAAUACAUGCAAGUCGAGCGAGAAGACGUAGCAAUACGUUUGUAAAGCGGCGAACGGGUGAGGAAUACAUGGGUAACCUACCCUCGAGUGGGGAAUAACUAGCCGAAAGGUUAGCUAAUACCGCGUACGCUCCUUGGACUUCGGUUCAGGGAGGAAAGCGAUACCGUGGGUAUCGCGCUCUUGGAUGGGCUCAUGUCCUAUCAGCUUGUUGGUGAGGUAACGGCUCACCAAGGCUUCGACGGGUAGCUGGUCUGAGAGGACGAUCAGCCACACUGGCACUGCGACACGGGCCAGACUCCACGGGAGGCAGCAGUAAGGAAUAUUGCGCAAUGGGCGAAAGCCUGACGCAGCGACGCCGCGUGGGGGAU